GCCCUGGUGGUGAAAUUGGUAGACGCGCCGGAUUCAAAAUCCGGUUCCGCAAGGAGUGUCGGUUCGAGUCCGACCCGGGGCACCA
rnacentral:tRNA from 3 species